CUGGGCGNAAAGCGAGCGCAGACGGUUUAUUAAGCAAGAUGNGAAAUCCCCGAGCUUAACUUGGGAACUGCGUUUUGAACUGGUAAGCUAGAGUAUNUCAGAGGGGGGUAGAAUUCCACGUGUAGCAGUGAAAUGCGUAGAGAUGUGGAGGAAUNCCGAUGGCGAAGGCAGCCCCCUGGGAUAAUACUGACGUUCAUGCUNGAAAGCGUGGGUAGCAAACAGGAUUAGAUACCCUGGUAGUNCACGCCCUAAACGAUGUCAAUUAGCUGUUGGGGCACUUGAUGCCUUAGUAGCGAAGCUAACGCGUGAAAUUGACCGCCUGGGGAGUACGGUCGCAAGAUUAAAACUCAAAGGAAUUGACGGGGACCCGCACAAGCGGUGGAUGAUGUGGAUUAAUUCGAUGCAACGCGAAGAACCUUACCUGGUCUUGACAUGUACGGAAUCUUCCNNNNNNNNNNAGAGUGCCUUCGGGAGCCGUAACACAGGUGCUGCAUGGCUGUCGUCAGCUCGUGUCGUGAGAUGUUGGGUUAAGUCCCGCAACGAGCGCAACCCUUGUCAUUAGUUGCCACCAUUUAGUUGGGCACUCUAAUGAGACUGCCGGUGACAAACCGGAGGAAGGUGGGGAUGACGUCAAGUCCUCAUGGCCCUUAUGACCAGGGCUUCACACGUCAUACAAUGGUCGGUACAGAGGGUAGCCAAGCCGCGAGGUGGAGCCAAUCUCAGAAAACCGAUCGUAGUCCGGAUUGCACUCUGCAACUCGAGUGCAUGAAGUCGGAAUCGCUAGUAAUCGCAGGUCAGCAUACUGCGGUGAAUACGUUCCCGGGUCUUGUACAC
rnacentral:rRNA from 1 species